rnacentral:rRNA from 1 species
GAGUUUGAUCUUGGCUCAGAACGAACGUUAGCGGCGCGCCUAACACAUGCAAGUCGCACGAGAAAGGGCUUCGGCCCCGGUACAGUGGCGCACGGGUGAGUAACACGUGGGUAACCUACCCUCAGGCGGGGGAGUAACCUUCCGAAAGGAGGGCUAAUACCGCGUAAGACCACGACCUCGAGAGAGGAUGCGGUCAAAGCAGGCCUCUAUACAUAAGCUUGCACCUGAGGAUGGGCCCGCGUCCCAUCAGCUAGUUGGUAGGGUAAUGGCCUACCAAGGCGAAGACGGGUAGCUGGUCUGAGAGGAUGAUCAGCCACACUGGAACUGAGACACGGUCCAGACUCCUACGGGAGGCAGCAGUGGGGGAAUCUUGCGCAAUGGGCGAAAGCCUGACGCAGCGACGCCGCGUGGGUGAUGAAGGCCUUCGGGUUGUAAGCCCUGUGGGGAGAGACGAAUAAGUGUUGGCUAACAUCCAGCGCGAUGACGGUAUCUCCUUAGCAAGCACCGGCUAACUCUGU